ACCAAAGAUGUCUUUGUUGGCACAGUUUAUCAGAACGUAUUCUACUUUUCUUCUGGUUUCAUAUCUGACAAACUUCACCACUGAAGUUCAUGCACCAGCAGCUCCAGACUUCUUUGGGAUGGAUGAACCAACUACA